UUUUAGGUGAGAUUUUUCCUUUAACGCAUCAGCCUUGAGACCACAAAUCUUUAUUUAUUCACUUAGACAACAAACAUUGACUGACUAGCAGUUAGUUGCAGGCUACGCAGAUAAUAUAGUCUCUGCUCUCAAAGAACACAGCAUUUAGGUGGUGACAGGGUGGUGAACAGAGUGGCAGAGUGCUCUGAUAACAGGUGCCACGAGAGAGGGAGCAUCUACUUAUCUCUUCAGGGGAUGUCAGGCUUCACAGAGUAGGUAUUUGCUGAACUGUUUCUCAGAGGAUGAGCAGAAAUUUUCCUGGCAGGGAAGGGGCAUGAGAACACCCCAGGCAGAAGGAGCAGCAGGUACAGGAGACGAGAUACACGUGUGUUCAGGUGGCUCCUGGGGACUGGUGGCGGGUGGAAGUUACAGGAGAUGCAGGAUGGAGAGGCGGGACUUUGAUGCCAUUCAAAGCACUUGGCUCUGUACUGGGAGAGACCUGGACCUUCAUGAACCACUUUGCAACACAGAACAUUGGUUCUAUCAGGCAGGCACCACUGGCUCACCUCCUGUUGUCCAGAACUGAGAUUGGGAUGAAGCAUCUGAAUCUAUGCCAUUGCCUAUAGAAAAGGUUUUGGAAGUUGGGAUCAGAGGUAGAGUUCAUUGAUUCACUUGUUCACCAGCCUCUUCUGAGUGCCUGCUGGAGGCAGGUCAUCAAGUCACCUGAGGCUCUGAUCCAGUACUUUCUCAUUCUGAGGCUGAAAGCAUAACCCCUGAUCUUGAUUUUGUGGCAGAGGGGAAAAAGAGAGAAAUGGCCAAACCAGGCAGUGAAUCUUGCAGCCUCUGUUAGAUGUGAUAACAUCACUUCUGCUCGUGUUCCACUGGCAAAGCAGGUGAGGGAACUGAGACUCGAAGAAAUGAAGGAACAUGCACAAGAGAACACACAGGAAGUGAGGAACCACACUGACAUUCUCCCCGCAGGCCUGCUUGACCGCGUAGCCCCUCUUCUUCCCAGCCUACCCUCUGCCCUUCCCCUGGAGAACAGGCACUGGAGAUGGGCCUUGGAGAACGUGAGGAUUUUAGGAAUUGGACAAAGUGAG